GGGGGUUUAGCUCAGUGGCAUAAGCACCUGCCUUGCAAGCAGGCGGUUGUGAGUUUGACCCCCG
rnacentral:tRNA from 1 species